AGUGAACGCUGGCGGUAGGCCUAACACAUGCAAGUCGAACGGCAGCACAGUAAGAGCUUGCUCUUACGGGUGGCGAGUGGCGGACGGGUGAGGAAUACAUCGGAAUCUACUUUUUCGUGGGGGAUAACGUAGGGAAACUUACGCUAAUACCGCAUACGACCUACGGGUGAAAGCAGUGGAUCUUCGGGCCUUGCGCGAUUGAAUGAGCCGAUGUCGGAUUAGCUAGUUGGCGUGGUAAAGGCCCACCAAGGCGACGAUCCGUAGCUGGUCUGAGAGGAUGAUCAGCCACACUGGAACUGAGACACGGUCCAGACUCCUACGGGAGGCAGCAGUGGGGAAUAUUGGACAAUGGGCGCAAGCCUGAUCCAGCCAUACCGCGUGGGUGAAGAAGGCCUUCGGGUUGUAAAGCCCUUUUGUUGGGAAAGAAAAGCAGCAGGUUAAUACCCCGCUGUUCUGACGGUACCCAAAGAAUAAGCACCGGCUAACUUCGUG
rnacentral:rRNA from 1 species